AAGAGGGAAGCAUGGUGGAAAAUUAUUGUGGAUGCUAAAUUUGGUAGUGCGUGGGGUGGGUAGUGCUCUAUUGAUCCUCCUGGGUCUCAUGGAGUGCGGCUAUGGAAGAAUACCUUGCCGACCACACCUAGGGGGUUUGUGUGUUGAUGAGGAUGUUGCUCAAGAGGCAAUGAUUUUUCUGUCCAAAUUUUAAGGGUGACGGUUAAUGCUCUAUACAAGUUUGCAAUAUUUCUUAGACAAUGGUAGAUUCCUGGUAAUAUUCAUGCUGAUCGCUUUUGUUGCAGCCAAAAACAGUUAAUGCAUUAAUUUCGGCGGAUAAAAGCUGAGGAGGUAAUAUUCACUGAUGAGAGGCUUGAAGACAAUUCUUACUGGGCAAAGGAUGGGGCAGAACGUGGCUAUGGUGCAAAAGCACAAGAAAUUCUUGGGCAAGUUAGAGGACGUGGGGCGGCCAUAACUUUAUCAACAAAUUCCAGUCUAUAUUUGGUCUUCUCAG